rnacentral:rRNA from 1 species
GACGAACGCUGGCGGCGUGCUUAACACAUGCAAGUCGAACGGAAAGGCCCUGCUUUUGUGGUGUGCUCGAGUGGCGAACGGGUGAGUAACACGUGAGUAACCUGCCCUUGACUUUGGGAUAACUUCAGGAAACUGGGGCUAAUACCGUAUAGGAGCUCCUGCUGCAUGGUGGGGGUUGGAAAGUUUCGGCGGUUGGGGAUGGACUCGCGGCUUAUCAGCUUGUUGGUGGGGUAGUGGCUUACCAAGGCUUUGACGGGUAGCCGGCCUGAGAGGGUGACCGGCGACAUUGGGACUGAGAUACGGCCCAGACUCGUACGGGAGGCAGCAGUGGGGAAUAUUGCACAAUGGGCGGAAGCCUGAUGCAGCAACGCCGCGUGCGGGAUGACGGCCUUCGGGUUGUAAACCGCUUUCGCCUGUGACGAAGCGUGAGUGACGGUAAUGGGUAAAGAAGCACCGGCUAACUACGUG